rnacentral:misc_RNA from 1 species
AACUUUUGGCAACGGAUCUCUUGGCUCUCGCAUCGAUGAAGAACACAGCUAAAUGUGAUAAGUAAUGUGAAUUGCAGAAUCCAGUGAAUCAUCGAAUCUUUGAACGCAUCUUGCGCUCCUUGGCAUUCCGAGGAGCAUGCCUGUUUGAGUGUCAUUAAACUAUCAAAACACAUUUUUACGAAAAGUGUUUUGGACUUUGGGAGUAUUGUGCUGGUCUGUUUGAGCCAGCUGUCCUCAAAAGCAUUAGCUUUGGAGACCAUCAGUGUGAUAAUUUGUUUACACUGGCUUCUCCUUUUAAAUGCACCCUUUGACCUCAAAUCAAGUAGGACUACCCGCUGAACUUAAGCAUAUCAAUAAGCGGAGGCU